rnacentral:ncRNA from 1 species
CCAGUAUAAAGGCAAACCUGCUGAAAAGCAGGGACGCAAAGCCGUGAGUCUAAGGCAUUUAUAAUGCUAGGAUCGUCAGGCCGCCGUA